GACGAACGCUGGCGGCGUGCCUAACACAUGCAAGUCGAACGAGUGGCGGACGGGUGAGUAAUGUCUGGGAAACUGCCCGAUGGAGGGGGAUAACUACUGGAAACGGUAGCUAAUACCGCAUACCAUCGGAUGUGCCCAGAUGGGAUUAGCUAGUAGGUGGGGUAACGGCUCACCUAGGCGACGAUCCCUAGCUGGUCUGAAAGGAUGACCAGCCACACUGGAACGGAGACACGGUCCAGACUCCGACGGGGGGCACAGGUGGGGAAUAGUGCACAAUGGGCGCAAGCCUGAUGCAGCCAUGCCGCGUGUAUGAAGAAGGCCUUCGGGUUGUAAAGUACUUUCAGCGAGGAGGCGUUACUCGCAGAAGAAGCACCGGCUAACUCCGUGCCAGCCGCCGCGGUAAUAC
rnacentral:rRNA from 1 species